GCCGGGCAUGGUGGUGCACGCCUGUAAUCCCAGCUACUUGGGAGGCUGAGACAGGAGAAUUGCUUGAACCCGGGAGGCGGAGGUUGCAGUGAGCUGACAUUGAGCCACUGCAGUCCAGCCUGAGUGACAGAGUAAAACUCUGUCUCAA
rfam:Pan troglodytes isolate Yerkes chimp pedigree #C0471 (Clint) chromosome 1, whole genome shotgun sequence.